CUACGGGCUGCUCCAGUCGAGAAUCUUCCGCAAUGGACGAAAGUCUGACGGAGCGACGCCGCGUGCGGGAUGAAGGCCUUCGGGUUGUAAACCGCUGUCAGUGGGGAGGAAAUGCAUCAGGGUUCUCCCUGGUGUUUGACCGAUCCGCAGAGGAAGCGCAGGCUAAGUUCGUGCCAGCAGCCGCGGUAACACGAACUGCGCGAACGUUAUUCGGAAUUACUGGGCUUAAAGAGUUCGUAGGCGGCCUUUCAAGUCGGGUGUGAAAUCCCUCGGCUCAACCGAGGAAUUGCGCCUGAUACUGUUGGGCUUGAGGGGGAUAGGGGUGAGCGGAACUGAUGGUGGAGCGGUGAAAUGCGUUGAUAUCAUCAGGAACACCGGUGGCGAAGGCGGCUCACUGGAUCUCUUCUGACGCUGAGGAACGAAAGCUAGGGGAGCGAACGGGAUUAGAUACCCGGGUAGUC
rnacentral:rRNA from 1 species